UGUAGUCCAAAACAUCUGGAGGGCCGAAGGUUGGGGAUGCCUGUACUAGGGGAUAUUUCUCUAUCAUUCCCAUCUUGGUUAACUUUCUAUUAUUAAUCAUGUGACUACCCAAGCUGAGCUCUGACUUGACAGAUAGGCAGUGCUGCAAUAGUACACAGGGUAGCUUACAAGAAUAGCCUUCAGUUCUUUAUAAGUUUGACAAGAGCUGGGCUGGUGCCAAAGGCUGAUUGCUUUACUGUGGAUUGCCAUGGUUAACCAUGAGUUGCUUGGUAGUAGUCUGUGGAGCCAUAUGCUCCAGCCCCUUACACCAGGAGUAGCCAAUGUGGUGUCCUCCAGUUGUUGUCGGACUGCAACUCCCACAAGCCUCAAGCUAACAUGGUCAUUGGUCAAGGAUGGUGGUCAUUCUACUCGCAACACCUGGCUGCCCACCUUUGCCCAACACCCCUUAAAAGCAGGGGUGGGUAACCUGUAGCCCUCCAGUUUUCGCUUGAAUCCAUUUCCUCUCAGUUCCAGCCAGAGUGGCCAAUGAUUAGGGAUGGCCAAUGGGAGAUGCAGUCCGACAACACUGGGGGGGGGGCAGUUUCCCCAUAUCUGUGAAAUACCCGCACUGUACCUAACUGAUAAUACAUCAGCGGCAGCAUUAGCCACAUUAACUUCCCACUUAACUCAGAAUGAGAACCAGAGUGAAAUUCUGAUUUCAGUCCAAAUGGAGCAAGACCUUUACAGCUGUGCUGGCUUUUGUCAGGCAGGGCUUUGCUUUCAGCUGCACAAUGUUCUAAUUUUUAAUUGUAAAACGAACAUGCAGACAUCACACAUAGAUGUUAUACACCAUUACAUUUUUAUCUUCCCUUCCUCCAUUGAGAGCUCAGAGAAACAUACAAAGUUAUCCCUGUGAAGUUAUCCCAUAACCCUGUAAAGUAGAGGGUUUUUUUGGCUGGGGCAGGCAUUAGGGCUGAGCGGUUAUUUUAAAUAUAGCACAUCUUUCCAGUGUUUCUGGCCUUUUAGCCCAUUUCCUUGUUAUUAACUUCGGGGACAGAUCAGGAACAGGAACGGGAUUCUCCCCAUCUCUUGGCACCAUCAGUUCUUCUUCCCCACCUUCCUUCCUGUUGAAAGCAGUGAACAACUGAAUGGAAGAUCCCCCAGUUAUCUCACAUUCAAAUUGCCAUAUUAUCUCCUAUAAAUUCAUUUCUCCCAUGUGUACAGGACUAUUCAAACCCUAAUCUCUCCCCAUUAGCUAUGUGGGUGGGGUGGAGGAAUAACAUGGCUAGAUUAUUUAUUACCCUGUUCAAUUUUUAAAUACCAACCUAUUUUUAAGUACAAUAAAAAUAUCCACUUAUGUAAUAAAGAUUUAGCAGUUAUCUCAAAUUAAGAUUAUUGACAAAAGAUGUCUUUUACAGUAAAUACCCUCUGUCAAUUGGAAUUUCAAAGCUUUGUAUGUGGAAGUGCCUUUUAUAAACUAUACAGUUAUUUUACAAACCGCCAAUCAUGACUAUUGCAUGAUGCGAAUGUUUAGAGGCGAGAGGGAAAGCUGAGGUUGAUAACCCCAAACAUUUUUAACCAGCUCUGUGACAAUUGUUUCAUAGCCUUGGUGUUGGGCUUUUACAUAUGUGGAAUGUUCCAGAAUACAGAAGCAUUCAAAAUGGAAAAAACAACAACUGAGGAGAAUUUUUUAAAAGGGAGGAGGGAAACCCUCUCUAUGCCUCUCCUAAACCAUUGUAUUUCGCCAUUAUGUCAGUUAACAACUACACUAGAAACAAGCAGCAGAUUUUUUUCCACUCUACUACUGUAAGGCAUUCUACAUUGAGCUGCCCUUGAAGACAGUCUGGAAACGUUAGUACAGAAUGCAGCCACAAGAGGAUUGUCACUUCCGUGCAUUGACAGAAACCCAAGACAGCAACUGCAACGAGAAAAGUCAUUUUCGUGAAAUGUGGAACCAGAGGACAGGGUCAAGGGAUUUUGCUUGCCUAGAAGAACAUCCAAGGAUGUCCAAAGACAGGACCAUCCCUCCCCACUUUUCUCCUUUAGACCAGCGUGCAACACAGUAGGAGCACAGAUGCACUACUGGUGCCUACAAAUCGAUAGCUCCAGAUUAUCAAACAACACACAAGCAGAGUCACAACAGAAGGUGGCUACAACCUACACAGGCACUGCCAUGUUUGCAAUGGAAAUUAACAAAGACUAAAGCAAGAUGUGGAAAGAGAUACAAGCCAAAGUGGAAACAAGCAUGAAUGCUGACUGCCAUCUGGCACAGAUGUCAUUUACUGCUGUUCAUGAUUCAGGCAUUGAGCGAUCCUCUCUAAGGACCUUGGCUUCACAUUUAUUCCGACCACAAAGCGUAUCUCUGAUAUAGUGUGGGGCUUCCCCCUGCCAAAAAAAGGUAUAUCCCCAAAUAUAUGACUCCAUUCUCCUUUCUCUAUAUAUUAUCCUGCUCCUGCUCCCUUCAUAUAGCUUUUAUGAAGACCCAUUUUAUAGCAGUGAAUUCUAGCAUGCAAUAAAGUCAUAAAGGCUGAUAUUUCAACAGUGUAAUAACUGCAAUUAUUUCAGUUCCUGUAUUUUUCAGUGGAGUCAGAAAUGCUGCUUUAGCAAACACAUGCACAAAAACACAGAUUUGAAGAAGUUGCAGGACAUUAUCACAAGCGACACAUAGGGCAUUUGAUGGGGGAUAUUUCUGAUUUCACACGACUACGACACACCAACAGAAUGUUCUAACAGGGGUCCAUUCUUCCAGUUCAAUGCUGGAAAUGGAGGAUAGUUUUCAGGGUUAUUUGUACUGAUCCCACUCAAGUCUCAUCCUUUCCGUGUGCCAGUUUUAUACAUCCUAACAGCUGGUUAGCAAGGAAGUUUGUGAACCUGCUUCUGCAUGUACAAAAGUCUCCAACUGACUAUUACAGCUACCAAUAGGUGCUACAGCUAGCCAGUAGGCCCCAUACUGAGCCUCUCAAUAGCACUGCCCUUGCCAACACCCAUCAUCUAAGGAGGGUGGCACAAUCUCAACCUCUUAAGUAUGGGGCUUCAAGCAGCAGAGAAGAGAAACAAGAGCACUGUAGCAAAGACGCAGAAGACUUCAGCUGGCUGUAGUAAGUAGUAACAGCUGGCUGAAGGCUACCCUACACCAAGGAAAUGGUUCAAAUGAGUUUCCCGUGCGAACUGGUCCUAAGCUACAAUUUUAAUAUCUGUCACCACUCCUUCCAAUAGCAAAUGCAGGUACUGAGUGCCAACAGCAU